CACGUAGGGCGCAAGCGUUGUCCGGAAUUAUUGGGCGUAAAGAGCUCGUAGGCGGUUUGUCGCGUCGGCUGUGAAAACCUGGGGCUCAACCCCGGGCCUGCAGCCGAUACGGGCAAACUAGAAUUCGGUAGGGGAGACUGGAAUUCCUGGUGUAGCGGUGAAAUGCGCAGAUAUCAGGAGGAACACCGGUGGCGAAGGCGGGUCUCUGGGCCGAUAUUGACGCUGAGGAGCGAAAGCGUGGGGAGCAAACAGG
rnacentral:rRNA from 1 species